rnacentral:tRNA from 1 species
AGAGAAUUAGUUUAUUAAAAAUACCUACUUGUCAAGUAGGAGAAAAUAGAAUAAAAAUUGUUAUUAUUCUCUA